rnacentral:rRNA from 1 species
AGGUAGUUGGCGGGGUAAAAGCCCACCAAGCCAAAGAUCGAUAGCCGGCCUGAGAGGGCACACGGCCACACUGGCACUGAAACACGGGCCAGACUCCUACGGGAGGCAGCAGUGGGGAAUCUUGCACAAUGGGGGAAACCCUGAUGCAGCGACGCCGCGUGAGCGAUGAAGCCCUUCGGGGUGUAAAGCUCUUUCGGCAGGAACGAUAAUGACGGUACCUGCAGAAGAAGCUGCGGCUAACUACGUGCCAGCAGCCGCGGUAAUACGUAGGCAGCGAGCGUUGUUCGGAAUUACUGGGCGUAAAGAGUGUGUAGGUGGUGUCGUAAGUUUGGUGUGAAAUCUCCCGGCUUAACUGGGAGGGUGCGCCGAAGACUGCGAGGCUGGAGUAUGGGAGAGGAAAGCGGAAUUCCUGGUGUAGCGGUGAAAUGCGUAGAUAUCAGGAGGAACACCUGCGGUGUAGACGGCUUUCUGGACCAUUACUGACACUGAGACACGAAAGCGUGGGUAGCAAACAGGAUUAGAUACCCUGGUAGUCCACGCCCUAAACGAUGCAUACUUGGUGUGAGCCAUUCAGUUGGUUCGUGCCGGAGCUAACGCGUUAAGUAUGCCGCCUGGGGAGUACGGUCGCAAGGCUGAAACUUAAAGGAAUUGACGGAAGGGCACCACCAGGAGUGGUGCCUGCGGCUUAAUUUGACCCAACACGGGGAAACUUACCAGGUCCGGACAUAGUGAGGAUUGACAGAUUGAAGUUCUUUCUUGAUUCUAUGGGUGGUGUGCAUGGCCGUUCUUAGUUGGUGGAGUGAUUUGUCUGGUUAAUUCCGUUAACGAACGAGACCUCGACCUGCUAAAUAGUAUGACGUAGGCUCUGUCUAUGGACAUGACUUCUUAGAGGGACUGUCGGUUUUUAGCCGAAGGAAGUUCGAGGCAAUAACAGGUCUGUGAUGCCCUUAGAUGUUCUGGGCCGCACGCGCGCUACACUGAUACGUGCAUCGAGCUUACAACCUUGGCUGGGAGGCCUGGGUAAUCUUUGAAAAGCGUAUCGUGCUGGGGAUAGAUUAUUGUAAUUAUUAAUCUUCAACGAGGAAUUCCUAGUAAGCGCGAGUCAUCAACUCGCACUGAUUACGUCCCUGCCCUUUGUACACACCGCCCGUCGCUGCUACCGAUUGAAUGCAUUAGUGAGCUUGAGGGAUCGUUUAGCUUGAGGGUCAAACUUCGAGUUAAGUGAGAACUCACGCAAACUUGCGCAUUUAGAGGAUCAAAAGUCGUAACAAGGUUUCCGUAGGUGAACCUGCGGAAG